UGAGCAAUCUGCCCUUCUCAUCGGAAUAAGCGUUGGAAAUGACGUCUAAUGCCGAAUACGACCUCCUUUCGCAUGAUCGGAGGUGGAAAGCUCCGGCGGAGAAGGAUGAGCUCGCGGCCUAUCAGCUAGUUGGUGUGGGUAAUGGCCCACCAAGGCGACGACGGGUAGCCGGCCUGAGAGGGUGACCGGCCACACUGGGACUGAGACACGGCCCAGACUCCUAGGGAGG
rnacentral:rRNA from 1 species